AUUGUCAUGCAAGAAAGACAACACAGGCUCUGUUUGAUAUCAGGGUACUGACGGUACCCCUAAAAGCUUCAGAGCCUGACUAA
ensembl:snoRNA